AGAACGAUAGGACUUGGACAUAAGCAGAUGGGGAUAAUCCAUAUACCAAGCACGCAUGAAGGAUCUGACAAAGGCUUACUGUCCUUAUGAAUGACCCCACCACACGAAGACAUGUCGAGAAGGCGCUGUCUCUGUGGAAACAGGCCCUCAGCAGACUUUGGACUUCUCAACCAUGAAAUCUGUGACAAAUAAACUUCUCUGGAUAUAAGCUACCCAAACUAUGGCCCACCUUAUGCCAAAUGGCCAAACAGGAAAGAACUUCAAGAAUGAAGCUCCCUCAGUCAACGCGCAAGAACACGUUGCUUAAAUAAACGCAUCUCAGGAAGGCAAAAGGCAAAGACAGUGGACUACUGACGGAUCCAUCAUGACAUAACUGAUGCUUGAACGCCUUCUCCAAUCUUUUUUCCUUCUGAAGCACUUACUAUUGUAUGUGAUGAUGGGCAGUGCUAUGAUCAAUACAGCUGUAUAAAAUGUAAGGCUAUCUUCUACAGAAGAUUAUCUAUUA